rnacentral:rRNA from 1 species
UGGCWRAAGUAAUGAUUGAUAGGGACAGUUGGGGGCAUUAGUAUUUAGUUGUCAGAGGUGAAAUUCUAGGAUUUACUAAAGACUGACCAAUGCGAAAGCAUUUGCCAAGGAUGUUUUCAUUAAUCAAGAACGAAAGUAGGGGGAUCGAAGACGAUCAGAUACCGUCGUAGUCUCUACCGUAAACUAUGCCGACCAGGGAUCCGGAGAGUUUGCAUGGAUGACUCCCCGGGCACCUUGUGAGUUUCAUAAGUGUUUGGGUUUGGGGGGAGUAUGGUCGCAAGGCUGAAACUAAAGGAAUGACGAAGAAACCAUUAGUC